UACGUAGGGGGCAAGCGUUGUCCGGAUUUAUUGGGCGUAAAGAGCGUGUAGGCGGCCAUACAGGUCAGCUGUGAAAACUCGAGGCUCAACCUCGAGACGUCGGUUGAAACCGUAUGGCUAGAGUCCGGAAGAGGAGAGUGGAAUUCCCGGUGUAGCGGUGAAAUGCGCAGAUAUCGGGAAGAACACCCGUGGCGAAGGCGACUACCUGGCCUGUUCUUGACGCUGAGGCGCGAAAGCUAGGGGAGCAAACGGG
rnacentral:rRNA from 1 species